AUGUCUAACCAGUGCAAACCUUAGCCAUCCAUAUUAAAGCGGAGAAUUCCUCUCUUUGGUAUUCACAAGCAUAACAUACAUAAUCCUUUAUCGCUGGCAAAGCUAUUAGCUUUUUGGCCUUUGGCUGGUCGAUGUAUGCAUUAUCUAUAGUUAUUGCAUGCAAGUGUUCUCAACUGACUUGCAAACCCUUUGAUCAAACCAGCUAAACUUGAUUUUCCAGAUGAUUCAAGAGACAAGGCACACAUCUCUCAGCUUUACAAGUCCUGGCAAGCAGUCAAGACCCCAUGCUCCCCCACUCCCUUCAUCGGAAUCAAAGAACCUCAGGAUCGUCAUCACCCCUUCCUUCAUCCACUUCUUGCUUUGUCGAGGCCACCGUCCUGAUGACUUCACUUUGGCAGAAUUGCUUGAAGUUGCCAUCCGUGCCUGCCUUUGAAAUGUGUGCAGUUCGUAGUAGAGAGGCAACAAACACAAAUCAAAGUGUUUUCCUUUUUUUCAGUUCGAUCCUUUGUGUUUUCGUAGUUGGAGCAGUGAUGUCCAGGUCUUGAUGUGAACAGUGACCUGGAUGCUUGGUUGCAUCACCUGUGAGCUCCCUGUUCGCUCUUAUUUGGCACAGCAGAGCAAGUUGGUUGAGAGCUGCCUCUCCCACUGGGACCAG